rnacentral:rRNA from 1 species
UACGGGGGGAGCAAGCGUUGUUCGGAUUUACUGGGCGUAAAGGGCUCGUAGGCGGCCAACUAAGUCAGACGUGAAAUCCCUCAGCUUAACUGGGGAACUGCGUCUGAUACUGGAUGGCUUGGAUUCGGGAGAGGAAUGCGGAAUUCCAGGUGUAGCGGUGAAAUGCGUAGAUAUCUGGAGGAACACCGGUGGCGAAGGCGGCAUUCUGGACCGAUAUUGACGCUGAGGAGCGAAAGCCAGGGGAGCAAAGCGG